rnacentral:lncRNA from 1 species
CUCCCAUAGAGGCAAGUGAAGUUGGUGAGCCGUAUGAUGGGCAACUAUCUCCUGCGGUUCGGAGAGGACUCAGCUGUUAGUUAGUACCCCCUUGGUUUCGGGGUGGACCUUUUCACUCUAUUUUAUUAUAUACGCUUAGCGAAAAGAAUGUUUUUUGAUACACCUAGGACAUGGAUUCUAUAUGAACCAAUGGAUCUAGCUCUUAGUUAGUACCCCCUUGGUUUCGGGGAGGACCUUUUCGCUCUAUUUUAUUAUAUACACUAAGCGAAGAGGAUGUUUUUUGAUACACCUAGGACAUGGAUUCUAUAUGAACCAAUGGAUCGUGACAAGUCGUUANNNN